rnacentral:rRNA from 1 species
AUUGAACGCUGGCGGCAGGCCUAACACAUGCAAGUCGAACGAGUGGCGGACGGGUGAGUAAUGUCUGGGAAACUGCCAGAUGGAGGGGGAUAACUACUGGAAACGGUAGCUAAUACCGCAUACCAUCGGAUGUGCCCAGAUGGGAUUGGCUUGUAGGUGGGGUAACGGCUCACCUAGGCGACGAGCCCUAGCUGGUCUGAGAGGAGGACCAGCGACACUGGAACGGGUACACGGCCCAGACUCCUACGGGAGGAAGCAGUGGGGAAUAUUGCAAAAGGGGCGCAAGCCGGAUGCAGCCAUGCCGCGUGGAUGAAGAAGGCCUUCGGGUUGUAAAGUACUUUAAGCGAGGAGGCGUUACGCGCAGAAGAAGCACCGGCUAACUCCGUGCCAGCAGCCGCGGUAAUAC